rnacentral:lncRNA from 12 species
CUGGCUGCAUGCUUGAUGGUGGGAGGAAGAAGGACCCCACUGGAGUGCAAAGGUUGGUCUGAUUCUUAGAAAAUAUCUACAGAGUGCAACGAAGUUCUUCACAGCAAAGUCAUGACUGGGACCUUCCCUCCUUCAGGCUAACUCAACAGGAUCUUUGGAGAUACGUGAACAACCAGACUGAAAGGACUCUGGAUCCUAGAUGCCAAACCUGUAUCAAC